rnacentral:lncRNA from 1 species
AUGACGCACAGUGCUGGCGCAAGUCGUCUUGCGCCAGGCGACUGGGUCUGAGGAGGCAGGAGUUAUUCAUUCCCUUAAGCUUUCAGGCCGGGGGGAGAAUCUUUCAGGUGGUAGCUGCAAGAACUCUUAGUAUGUUGACCUCACCUCUGCCUUCCACAUACCACUACCAGUGAGGAAUUAGGAAUGCAUGAGAAGAGUGUCCAAGAAGAGUGUCCUCAUUCAUGCAAGGCUUAAGAGAGAAUGCAGGUCAACAUCACCAUGUCAAUCAGAGGUGCAGAUGCUGAGAGCACUUUCUAGUCAAGUCCUGCAUGUUCAUUUCUGUCUCAAGUCAGCUUCUCUGAGAAUCCAAUUUAUAAAAAUAUAUUUGUGAAUGUAUAAGUAAAGUGACUUGGAUUUUGUCUACGUACAAGGACUUCUAUGCCUGCAUAAAACAGGAAAGAGAUCUUCAUGUAAACAGAGUCCCUCUUAUUGGCUGAAGUGAAGAGUCAUUCUGAGGAGGAUCUGAAAAUGUAGAGGUGAGACGCUAAUGGCAGAGUGGCCUCAGCUUUCACCAGGUUUUGAAAACAUCUGUGAGGGAGGCACCAAAUUCACUGUCCUGCAGCUUUGACUUCCCAAUCCUCGUUGCCUCGUGCUGCCAGCCUGUAUGCUGGUAGAAGUGUGUUCCUGGGAACAUCCUGGCAUCUUGUGUUAGGACUACACUGGUGCAUGGGACAGAUCACGCUCAAGAAGGUCGAUGUAAUUUGAAAAACAGAUGGGCUCUGCUUUGUGAAAACUCCAAGCAUAUGAAGUCUAACUUGAAUAAAAGGCAUCUCAAGAUGAAGGUUUCCUAUUUGUGAUUAUGAAAAAAAUGUCAAGAACAAGUCCCUUGGUGUUCUUAGACCAAAGUCAGAACAACAGACCUACUGUUGUGAAGAGCAAAAGAACUGAGGUCAUAUUCUUUGAGUAUUUGAAAGCUAUGACAUGAUUCAGCAAUAAAGCAGCUCAUAUCAUCAGUGAGUAAGUAUAAUUUCCAUAUUUUUGUAUUUUCACUUUAAUUUUACUCUUUACUGUAGACAAAAAUGUUAGCCAAUAAUCAUGUCUCCGCUAUACUCAUUUAUCAAUUGUAACCAUAGGUUGACUGUGGGGACAAGGGCUGAGAAGGAAAUCAAUGAAAGUAUUAUGUGAGAAUCAAUUAACUCUAUGGAAUUUAUAAUAAAUACUGAAUAUCUUAUUAUUAUUUGCAAAUUGUGUGCAACAUAUCCUUUAUAUCAGUAAAAUUUGUAGCAAACAUCUAUGUGUAUAUAUACAUCCUUUUUUUUUUCCUCGAGAACCAGUUGUUAAACUUACACUAGCAUGCUACCACCUACCUCCACACCUUUCUUCAAAAGAUCUUUAUCCCCUGACUCACUCUCUUUUCUCCAUAUUCCUGAUAAGGCUGUUCUUCCAGAAGCCAGAGGAAAGCCCUUUGUUAUAGUCUUUACAGGUUAGCCUUCCACACCUCUUGGAGAAGAAUG